ACCAGCUAGCCGAAAAUCAUGUAUUAGGAAUUGGUCAACAUUGUAAACUUUCCCCAUCCAAAUAAAAAAGACCACACAUAUGCAAUCCAAAACACAUAGGCCAUAUCAAUAGGUAUCAAAGGCGCUUAAGGUACACUUUUUCUCUCUGUAUUUUGUGUUUUGCUCUGUAUUUGCAUCAUUUUUAUUUGAUUUGGCAAAAGGGAAGAUCGAUUUUAUGAUACAUUACGGAUGUUAUUUUAGUUAUAUUAGCUUUUCAAUACAAGAUCCUUUAAAUAUAACAUAUGAGAUAGUACAUAAAAGCUAAAUAUCUUUUUAGUUAUAUGAGCUUUUCCACAUAAAGUCAAUAUUAACCAUGAGGGGGUUUUAAGUUAUGCAUAGAAAAGGGAAGAUCUCAUAUUUACUUUUCUUUUUAAUUUUUUUUAGGAAAGGUUUUUCCUUUGGAUAAAAUUAGAUCUCUCAUUGCUAACUAUUAUAAUAUAUUGUACAGUCCUAUAGUUUGUAGGAUUUGCUUUUCUUUAUUAUUGUACAGUUCUAUAGUUGAUAGGAUUUGGUUUAUUGUGCAGUCCUAUAGUUGGUCGGAUUUGGUUUCUCUCUGUACUCUAUAUAUACCUUUGUCUCACAAUAUAUUUUGUGAGAAGCCUCAAAUCAAUUAACUUCUCCAAAACUCUCUACACUAACAACAUGAAACUGGUUAUAACUUUUAACAUAUGUUGAGUUGGUCAGCACCCGAUCAUGUUGUUAUGAAAAAGCAUUGUGUUGGUUAGGCACACGUUAUAGGUUCGAACACAGUGGGAGUGAUAAGCCUAUUUUCCACUAUAUCGUUACCAAAUCUGGCCUUCGGGGAUUUCUCAGUUUAAAUGAAAGAAAAAUAAUUCUCUUAAUUAUACUUGAAAGAAAAAUAAUUCUCAAAUUGGUUAUAUGAUUACUCUGUAUCCUUUUUAAUUAUAUUUGAGCAAGCUUUUGAAGUUAAAUUAGGCCCAAGUGCCUUAUAUUAUAUGAUUCAAGUCAGGUCCAUUCUCUUUUGACCCUCCGUGUUAUAUUAUCCAUCUUCUCUCAGUGAGCUAGUUGGUGGGAUUGAGUUAGAGCCACGUUCCAUAUCUCACACGACUCACUUACAUUAAAUAUAUGUCUUUGAAAACAAAUUUGAGGUUCUCUUGAGCAGACUUCCCAAAGCUUUUGAUACUCUUCUUAUCUAUUUUGAACGGACCCUUCAAGAUGGCGCCGCACCUGUGUUGGAUUCUCCAAAAAUAUCUAUUUUUGAAGGAUCUGACAUGCAUUCAUUGAUAUUUUCGGAGAGUCCGAGCAACAUAACUUCUUAUGAAUCUUGCUUCCCUCCGGCUGCAGAAAUAUGGAAAUAGUGUAGCAGGUAGCACUCAUUAAAUAAGUUUUUUAAAAAAAAGGAUAUAUAACUCUUUUGCCUCUAGUCAAUGUAGGAACAGGGCAAGUGAGGCUUGCUCAGUUGGUAAAGCACCUUCACCUACGAUCAUUAGGUCCUGGAUUCGAGUCACCAGGGAGGGGAAGUGGAAGCACUAUAGAUCCUCCUAAUUUAUGAGAGGUUUUUAAAAAAAAAUGUAGGAACAGAUGUUUGGCGUUUUCCUAAUCAUUUUCACACAUAAAGCAUCUAUUGCAUAUUAUAAUACCCUUCUCGUUAGAUUGUCUUGAGUUAAACAUGCUUCAUUUAGGGGCAAAAAAUGCUAACUAUAAAUAGUCUUCUUAAAAGUAGUCCUCAAUCCAUCAGCUUCUAUCUUGGGACAAAAAUGACAUUGUUUAUUUACAUUGUAAUAGUAUUUCAAAUAAUUACGAUUCAAUCCCAACUAGGUUUGUUAUAUGAAUCCUCUGUAUCCGUUCUGUUGGCGUUCAGAAGAUUAAUUUUUGGUGCUGGUUGGCAACUUAUUGCAGCCUUCUUUCUUUAUUUGGGCUUGGAACCGACUAUGUGUUGUGAAACUUACAUGAGUGGAGUUCAUACUGUGAAAUUAUAACAAAAUUUAUCAUAGCUGACAAUAGGACAUACCUUUUCUUGAGAAUUCAGAAUAAACAGUCCUUCCUUUUGUGUACUAUUAAGUUAAUCAAAACCCAGUAACUCCAGUUAUUAUGUGCCUUUGGUGAUUCUAUUGAAUGUUCUUUCUACUGUUAAGGUGAGCCGUCAUGUUGUCAACAUCAUGCUUUAUGGUCAUGUCCCUCGCAUAUAACUGUGCGAAGCAGGAAUUUGUGGCCAUUUCUUGAAAAUAUUUUAUCCGUUGGCUGACCAUUCUUGAAAUUAUUAUGGUGAAUAAUUCGUGUAAGUGCUAUAGCGGAGCAAUGACUCUCCUUGAGCCGAGGGUCUAUCGGAGACAGGCUCUCUACAAGGUCUGCGUACACACUACCUUUCUUAGACUUGUUGCUGUUGCUGUAGCGGGGCAAUAGAACAUUAAGAGAUGAGUAUAAUUGAUUUGGGGCAUCAGCUAACUACUAGCUUUUCAGAUUGUACUUCUGAUGGUUAUCAUUCAUCAUGUCUCUUUAAACUUGGCCUCUAGGGUAAGAUCUACGUAUACACUACCCUCUCGCGACCUCCACUUGUAGGAUUAUACUGGGUUGUUCUAUGCCUCUUUAAACUUGAAAGAACCAAAUUUAAGCUUAGAGCGUUAAAGUGGAUAGCAGCCUCUCUACCUUCCUUCCUCCCCAAACUCCACUUAUGGGAUUUUACAUGAUUUUUUGUUGUUUCGUAGAUUUAAAGUGGAUGUUACGUUUAGAAAAUGUAUGAACCAACUAUUUGUUUCAGAUUUCAGGUGGAAGGAUUUACAUUUUUAUGGCAAAUAGAGCACUUGGAGAGGAGGCUCCUUUCGAGGUGGCACGUGAAUUGCUCAUCGCUUUAUCUAACUUGUUACCAGAUAUAGUUCUCGUGGACAAUUCUUGCAGCUCAAACGGAACUAUAGUGGCUUCAAGGGAUGGAACUGAGGAUUUCAGGUCGGAGUUAAUGUCCAUUUCUCACACUCAAUCUUCAGAGGUUGCUGUUAUGUGUAAUGGUUAUAUGUGAAGUUUGCAGCUAGCAUAUAGCUAUAGUUGCUCGCUAACAAGUCAUCGCUGUCUGUAUCAUAAUGCUUGCCUUAUGAGUGAACCUUGCUCGCUCUCCUAUGGAUGCAGCGCCUUCCAGUUCUAUGUAUUUGUGGUUGUUUGUUAAGAUCUUGUGGUUGAAAUCCUUGUUCUGGUGUAUGGUUAAAUCUGCCUUUAAGCGUGAGAUACAUCAUGCAUACUGCUGUAUUAUUAAUACAUCAUUGAUAUCGAUAAUGUCCCACCUUGACCAGGCGCGGAUCCAUAAAUUAAAUUCUAUGGGUUCAGUCUUCAAGAUUCUUAAUAUUAAACCCGGUAUAUUUUUUAAAGUUAUGGAUUCAUAUCCAGUCGUUGUAUUUUUAGUAAAAUUUUACACAUAAAUUAUGCACCACAUCAAAAGUUAUGAGUUCAAUUCAAUCUGUCGGAAUCACACAAUGUCCGCCC
rnacentral:lncRNA from 1 species